AAAAAUCAUUUGCUCAUUGCAUUUCAAGCAUCAUUUGGUCUUGCUUUCUGCAAGUGUUUGUCAGAGUCUCAUUCGUUUUCCUUUGUAUUUGUAGAAGAUAAGCCAACACAUCAGUAUAACACUCGUGCCAACUCAAUAAGAAAGAUGGAGACAAUUGAGUAAGAGAAAAGAGAGCUUCGUGAGGACAUGAAUUCAUUGAAGACAGGAAUGGACAUAAUGACCACUCUGUU
rnacentral:lncRNA from 1 species